ensembl:lincRNA
GAAAGGUGAAGAAGCCUCAGGGAAUGCGGCGGGUACAGCGGCUCGACUCACCUGCUUGCCGGCCCGCGGGUCCCGGGGUAGUUGGGGACGUUGGGGACGCUACCUGAGUGGGCAGGCUGAAACUCCCCGAUCGUGGCCAGGAGACAUAGAAGGAAUUCUGCAGGCCAUGCUCGGAAACUUCUUCAGCAGCAAAUCUGAUUCAGACUGAGUCAGGGAUCCUGCCUGAGGUUUCUCAGUAUCGCUGCACUGCAGCAUUUGAGUAAGAAGUCAGGUUUCCAACGACUCACCAGCGAACAUUCCUUUUGUGGGAAGACCACUGCUUACUUAAUUUGAGGCUUCUGCGAAGACUAGGUUUCAUCAAGAAAUUCUCUAAUAAGGAGCAAAAGAGACGGCUCAGAAUGAGAGCUCUUCGAAGAAUCCAGGUGUGACUCCCAACAACCACACAAGAACUGUCUUCCGAUCUUUGCUCCCGCCUCUUUAGCCCCGCGCUCUGAACGCACCGCCACUUUACAAUGCACGCUGGAGAGCCUAACCGGACACGCUUUUACGUUGUUCCUCUGCUCCGCCCCGCGAGACCUGCGCUCUCUCCCACACCGUGAAAUUCCCCGCGAUUCCAAAGCGGGCACGGACACCGAAGCCCUAAGCACCCUUUAUGUACAUAGAUCACUCCCCACUCUAACACCACAGACAGCUCAGGUUCUCAAGAAAACACCCGGCUUCUGGACCUGCCCUCCUGCUGUCAAUUAGCAUUUCAUUUCCCUCUGUAGGCUUAUUAACAUUAACCGGUUUCAAAACUGCUUUACCGUUUGCUGUUCCUACAGCUGUGUUUAAAUGAAAUUCUCCUGCCUCUUAGGUGAAUUCUUCAUUGCACCUUGUUUCUUCCAUGUCUCAAGGGACCCAGAAGGGCAGCGAAAUUCACCUAGAAAGGAGACAGCAGGAGACUGGAGAGAGAUAUGGCUUGGCUGUUAAGAAUGUUGCCAGAGAUGGAGGCAAUGGCUAAGCAAUAACCAACCCAACUUGAGACCCAUCCCAUGGGCAUGCACCAAUCUCAGACACUACUAAUGAUACUCUGUUAUAUUCGCAGUCAGCCUAGCAUAACUGUCCUCUGAGAGGUUCCACACAGCAGCGGACUGAAACAGAUGCAGAGACCCAGAGCCAGACAUUGGGUGGAGCUGGGGGAGUCUUGUGGAAGAGAUGGGGGGAGGAUUGAAGCCCACAAAGUGGAUAGGAUUCCACUACAGUCAACUAACCUGGACCCUUGGCUCUCCGAGACUGAACCACCAACCAAAGAGAGUACACGGGCUGAACUGAAUCGUCCCCACAACCCCCACAUAUGUAGCAAAGUCUCUAUGUGGAUCCCCCAACAACUGGAGUGGGGGCUAUCGCUAAAUCUGUUGUCUGUCUGUGGAAUGUUCUCCUAACUGGCCUGCUUUGUCUGGCCUGCGUGGGAGAGGAUGUGCCUCGUCCUGAAGAGACUUGAUGUGCCAGGUUGGGGGAUAGGGAGGGGGCUCCACCCUCUCGGAGGCAGAGAUUGGGAUAUAAAGUGAACAAAAAAAUAUUGUUUUAAAGGUUGAAGAAGACUCCAGUUCUGCUCCCAGUGCCCAGGUGACUCACAACCAUCUGUAAAUCCUACUCCACAAAUCUCUUUCGAGGUGUGAUUGGUUCUUAGGCAUCUCUAAGACACAUGCUGACCCCAUAACUAUUCUUUUCUGCCCAUCCCUCGUCCAUAUCCAUAUCGCACUUUUCUGUAAGUGCAUUGAGAAAGUCUCAUCUGCAGCUAAAGAUUUAAAAAUCUUAUUCAGAACAUUAAAAUUCUGG